rnacentral:rRNA from 1 species
AUUGAACGCUGGCGGCAGGCCUAACACAUGCAAGUCGAGCGAGCGGCGGACGGGUGAGUAAUGUCUGGGAAACUGCCUGAUGGAGGGGGAUACUACCGGGAACGGGUACUAAUAACCCAUAGCAACCAAUGUUGCCAGAUGGGAUUAGCGAGGAGGUGGGGUAAUGGCUCACCUAGGCGAAGAUCCCUAGCUGGUCUGAGAGGAAGACCAGCCACACUGGAACUGAGACACGGUCCAGACUCCUACGGGAGGCAGCAGUGGGGAAUAUUGCACAAUGGGCGCAAGCCUGAUGCAGCCAUGCCGCGUGUGUGAAGAAGGCCUUCGGGUUGUAAAGCACUUUCAGCGGGGAGGCGUUACCCGCAGAAGAAGCACCGGCUAACUCCGUGCCAGCAGCCGCGGUAAUAC